CGGUAUCACAUUAGAAAUGUACGACACAUUUCGGAUAGAACGUGUCUUUGAUUUAUAAGCUAUGACAUUUUAGAUGAACGCGUUGUUUUGAUUUAUUAUUGAGAUAAAUGAAGAAUGUUAGACGUCUUAAAUCAUAUAGGAUCUAACCGUAAUUGGGAAACAAACCACCACUUCUUCCAAGGAAAUAAAAAAAAUGAAAAACUGCAUUAUAAUUCGGAUAACAUGUUUUACAUUCAAAUGCUUGAAUCAAGUUCUUUUGCCAACGAUGCAUAAAAGCUGGGGAAAAUGACACUUUCUGAGGCAGGAUAAAUUUGAUAUAUUUCAAAAUGGUGAAAGCAGUUGA